rnacentral:lncRNA from 1 species
GCUCUUCCUCCUUAGUUUCUACUGCUGUCCUUACAUAACAAUAUUUUAAGCAGAAUUCCUCAAGUAGUGCAUUGUCAGAUAAAAUUUCAUUUUGAGCAAAUUUGAACAGUUCUUUUCUGUGAUGUUGAAGGUUUUUGUAACAAAGAAGAGUUCUAACUUUUAAUUCAAGACUCUCAAAGAAUUCAAAAAUUUUGUCAUGAAUGUUUGUCAGACCUUCUGAUAGAUUUUGCUUUCUUUUGGUCUCCUCUAAAG